CCUGCUGACUCUCAGAGGGGAAGGGAAAGGAGAAAGAGAUAGAAACAUCAAUGACAAGAGAGAAUCAUCUAUUGGCUGCCUCCUGCACGCGCCACACUAAGGAUAGAGCCCGAAUACCAGCUAUCCAUGAUAAAAUAUAAGAAGAGAGAGGUAAACUGAAGAAGGGUCCAGGAUAGUAUUUCCAGACAGCACAAGGAUCCCAAAGGAACAAAUGGCCUCAUGAUGAAAAUCAAAUCCAAGGUGCUGCCAGCAAAAUGAGAUCACAGGGGAAUAUUUUCUCGUUGAGCCCUGAGCCACCAUGAACUCUGCUGGAGAGACCACAUUGAGACUUUAUGGAGAGAAGAGGGGACCAAAUGAAGCCAGCUUUCUAGCCAUUCCUUCCAAGGCUCAACGCAUGUGAGUGAAGCUAAAUGAAUACCUCUAGGUUACCUAAAUUGACUCCGUGUGGCACAGAAGGGGCUAGCCUAGCCUUGACUGGAUUCCCAACUUACAAAAUUGUGAGAAAUAAAAUGUUUGUUGAUCUAAGCCACUAAAGUUUGGGACUACUCC